rnacentral:rRNA from 1 species
AUUGAACGCUGGCGGCAGGCCUAACACAUGCAAGUCGAGCGGAUGAGAAGAGCUUGCUCUUCGAUUCAGCGGCGGACGGGUGAGUAAUGCCUAGGAAUCUGCCUGGUAGUGGGGGACAACGUUUCGAAAGGAGCGCUAAUACCGCAUACGUCCUACGGGAGAAAGCAGGGGACCUUCGGGCCUUGCGCUAUCAGAUGAGCCUAGGUCGGAUUAGCUAGUUGGUGAGGUAAUGGCUCACCAAGGCGACGAUCCGUAACUGGUCUGAGAGGAUGAUCAGUCACACUGGAACUGAGACACGGUCCAGACUCCUACGGGAGGCAGCAGUGGGGAAUAUUGGACAAUGGGCGAAAGCCUGAUCCAGCCAUGCCGCGUGUGUGAAGAAGGUCUUCGGAUUGUAAAGCACUUUAAGUUGGGAGGAAGGGCAGUAAGUUAAUACCUUGCUGUUUUGACGUUACCGACAGAAUAAGCACUGGCUAAUUCUGUGCCAGCCGCCGCGGUAAAAC